CCUCGGAAACAAACUGUUCUGGGCCUGAGCCUGUAAAUUGCACAAGUGAAGAGUUAAAAUGCUCAGCAGUCACAGGAGUGAUAGGAGGAAGUUGAUUUUGGACAGAGGAAACUCACCCUCAAAACACUUUGCAGGAAUGCUACUCACUGGAGUCUGAAAGCUGGAUGAAGACUUGCCACAUCAUCCUUACUCUUGCUAGCUGAGAUACUCUCAAGUGGCAGCAUUCGUCUUUUCUGGAGAUGAUUCAGGCUCUGAAGACUUCUGGAACGACUGACACAAGUGCAAGCUACUUGCUGGAAAUAGUUCCUGAGUGGUGUCCCUCAUGUAGCAAUGGAUUCCUUUGAGAAGUGCAAAAUCUCUGUAGUGAAACAGAAUUGGCAGAAUCCAUUACUGGCCCAGUGGAAACUGCCUGGAAGAAGAAAAUCAGCAGAGGUGUAAAUGAUGGAAAGGCUGCUGUAGGACCAUCCAAUUCUGGUUCAAAGGUGUUGGCCCAGGGGCUCCAAUGCCCAUCAUCAGCGAGCACCUGGGAGCAGGUAGGUACACAGGUCACCAUCUUCCACACACUGACGGGAUGUAUUGUAUUUCUGUUUCUGUGAGAGUAAUGAGUUAGGCAUCUCCACACAGCCUUACACACCACAGAGUCACACUUUAUGCCCCUUCCACUGUCCUCCUUUUUGGGGAUGCAUUUCCUUCUUUUUGCAUGCUUCCUAAGUAGGCCCCUUAGCUGCGUUAUUACCCUUAGUGGGCUGCACCGCUGAGUCAUGGGCCUUCCCCAGUGAGUGGAUGGGCCCCAGAUGUAAUCUCUGAUUGACAGAGAAAAAAAUCUUUGCUAAACUUGUAUAUUUUAACUUUUUUUUUUGGUUUACUUUCUGGCAUAACUGUACUCAUUGUUGUAAAUGCAUUUGGAACAAGAAACUGCAGAGCCCAUUGGCAAGGACAUUCAUAAAGCAUUUUUUAAAAAAAUCAAACACUGCUUUUUUCUUCUUUUCUUUCUUUUUUAAGAGCAAUGUGGCCUCCCCCAUCUCCCUGGCAUUCAAAAAACAAAAUUGGGACAGAUGGCAGAAACAGACUCAAAUUUCCCUGGGGAUGAGGGGAAAAUGGUAUGGAAGAUCAGAAUCAAACCAAACAGGUGACUCUGAAAACUUAAUUUGCAACGGCCUGGUAGAAAUACAGGACAAAUUAAGCAGCAUUCCUCUGCUGUGAAUGAAGUUGUACACCAAAUAAAUGAGAAGAAGUAACUAAGCUGGUGAGUGAAGCAUGACAGAAAUGAGCUAGAUAAAACCAGGCAGAGAUGAAACUCAUCUCACGGUAGGUGAGAAGCUGUUUAUUUUGACAGAGGCCUGUAUUUACCCAAUUGUGUAAUUAUCGUCACUGACAUGGGAAAGGGAAACGGGUAAAUUCCGAAGCGUGGCUAAGAAUGACUCUGUGAGUUUGUUCUAUGCUAGAACUCAUCCUGCCUCUCACUGAAGGCCUUUCGCACAUUAUCCAGCAGCGAACCUGGGAUCGCCGUGGCACAAGCGCUCUCCCCAGAGGGUUCCAUCAGUCAUGAGUCCAUAAAUAGUGGACGUGUGCAUGAAGCACGUCUUUGCCAUUGUGUGCUUGCCACUUCUGUAUUUUAGAGGUGCUCUUCACACAGCUGAAGAGAGUCCUGUAUAAACCGGCCCAGAGUCCAGUUUAGGUGGAGGUGAGGAUCAUUUGCUUAAGGUGAUGCUGUUUGACAGUUCCUCUUCCAUGAAGACCUGAAAACAAACUUUAUCCAGCUAUCAGUAUUGGUAUGAUGCUGUCUCUGGGUUUCUUACAAACUGAUAAUCGAAAUGGAUCAAAGUUUAACCAGUGAGUAUUCUUCUGUUUUGCAGCAGGAGAGACUCUAGGGUCCCACUUUGGCCAAUGGUAAGUGCUUUUGAAACAGGAGCUGGGGACCAGUGGGCCUUCACAUGUUGUUGGACUACAGCUCCCAUGGUUCCUCACUAUUGGCUAUGUUGGGAAGGGCUGAAGGAGGUAAGCUGUUACACCCAAACACACAUCCCCGGGAGUAAGUCUCAAGGAAUACAAUGGUAUCUACUUCCAUGUAAAUAUGCCUAGGAUCAGGCUGUUAAACUUGUUCAUGGUCAUGGGAAUAAAAAUAAAUUCUCAAACUGGAAUAAGUGACAUUUGACAGUGUUUAACUUUGUCUAGACUAUGCCUUCACCAACUUAAUAUUAAUUUCAAUACGAAAUACUACUUAUUUCAAAGUGAACUUUGAGGGAAUACUUUAUUCCUUCCAGAAAGUUAAAAGUUUGCUAAUUUUAAUAUUACGACUGGAUAAUAUUUAGGGAUUGUUUUUGAAGGAACUUUACAGUGACUCUGUACUGGGCCCGAAAUGUACACAGGCAGCCCAUCCUGCAUUGUGGAUGGCCUUUCAACCUCACCCCUGGCAGUUUGGUCUCUCCAUCCCUCCUUGAAGAAACACCACUUUUCACGUACAGUGUUCACUAAAUAAUAAACUGGAAAUUAAAACAAAGCUGCAGUGCUAAACAUGUUUCUUUGAGCAUUCAGUUUGAGAAAGUGUGUUUAAAAUAGGAUUGUUAAUGUCAAAUAUUCCAUUAUUUCUUUUUCAGAAAACCAGCAUGUGGGAUAAAGCAUAGCAUGGCACCCAGCUGUAAAAUACACUUUGCCUCUUUAAUGCUGCCAACUGCUUUUUUCAUAGUGCUACCACAAGGAAGGGGGAAAUUUUUCUUUGGUUCACAUAUAGAAGUGAACUUACUUGAUAGGCAUGUCAUGAACCUAUAUGUAAAAUGAAAAACAGUUGCAUUUCAAUAGUCGCACUUUUCUGAAUAUUGCUAUAGUGCUCUCCAUUUUUUGAAAAAAUGCACAUAUAUAGGCAGAAGUGGGAACAAUAUUGUAGAAUGAUCACCUGCCCUGUAUGAUCCAUUUUUUGGGCACUGCCCUCUAAUCCUGGGCGUUUAAUGUCCUAUGAUGGGACAUUUCAGUUGUUUUAAUAGGUUUAGUUUUUGUUAUCAUU